GCGGCAUCAAAUAUAUAACAUUAUGGACCCAGCCGACUUCCAUCACGACAUUCGUUAUUCAAGAAGUGAAAACUCGCGGUACCCUCUCAGAUACCAAUCGCUGUUUGGCAUCUCUUUACUUCUAACUAUUAUUGCAUCCUUCUUUUUGUUAUCGAGAUUAUUCUCAGAUAGUCCAAUAUUUUUAUUAAUGGGCUUGAUUAUUCUUGGAUUCGCAGUUAUUAUAGUGCUGAUGGCGAUAAUAUGGUAUUGUUUAGAAAAACUGAAUCGUUACGUCUACAAGAGGCAACGAGUCCAGAGGAAUUUUGUUCGGUCUCUUCCACCGUAUUCGAAUCGUUUUCAACCCGCUCUACCCUCACCCAGUUUUAACAAUAUUCCAUCUGUGCCUAGACUCGUCGAUCGAUCGCAUUCCGACAUUAAUGACGAUCUACCACCUUCUUACGAUAGUAUUACGCGAAGCCAUAUGCCUGCAAUUGUACAUUACGGUAAAGCGGAACAAUCUGUCACAUUUCAUUCCCCCUCUAAUAUAUAAUCUACCAAUAGCACGGAAGUUGGUUCCACUUCUAGCACACCCUCAUAAAUCAUACAUCAGUUAAUAAAUUAACAUUUCUUUUAUUAACGAUCGAAUCGUCUUUCUUAAUACUGUAUAAAAUUCUAAAGCCCUUAGUUUUAGUGCCGCAGAGCGAAGAGUCGAGAAGAGCACCUAAACGCAUUACGUUUUUAAAUAUCAUCGUAAUUACUGUAUCGCCGCGAGUUAAGUUAUUCUUCUACCGGCGUAUCGAAUCUGGAUUCGAUUUCUGUUUAUAACUUUACAUGGGUAUUUCGAAUGAGAGAAUCACGCCGACUAUAGUCAAAACAGCGAAAGAGUAGACACCAAUCAGCCUGAGCUGGAAGGGUCUAUAUCAGCGGCGUACCCAGGGAUUGAACUAGAAGGGGGCAACUCCUAUUAGUUUGGAGGAAGUGGGGGGAAGUGAGAUUUCACCACAGAUGGCUCUAGUCUAGUCACAAUAUAUAUUGAUAUUAUUCAAACUGUGCUGCGUGUCAAUUACUACACUAACAAGUAAGUUUUCUUCUUCGCCGUUGGUCUACGUCAAACGAAAAAGAUGGAACGAGAUUGAAAUCGGGUUCUUCCCGAGCCCAACAGUGUUUUCUCACUUUAAACAACCUCAAAAAUCUCUAAAGAGAGAGAGAAUUCAAUAAUUUUAUAUUCAUAAAAUAACAAUUGAUUAUAGUUAGAAUAUAAAACCUUUUAACCUUUCUAUUUUAAGUAAUUAAAGAAUAAACCAGUCGACUAUUCGUCACGCAACAUCCGUAAAAGAGAAGUAACGAUGUAAGAAGGAAUAAUGAUAAUUAAAUCGUCGAAUCGAGUUACGGUCUACUGUUUCCUUUGUUUUCACCAUUAGCACCGAGCUUAUGGCGCCAAGGGAGCCAGAAACGUCGGCCAACUCCCGCUCCAGACUAAACGGAUGCGCCGUUUGUGGGCAUUUACGAGUCUAUGUAAACUGAACCGGAAGGAAGAUGCUAAAAUGGAGUGCGUCCAAUCCUCCCAAAUCUAUAACGAGAAAAAGGAAGCCAAUUAGGGAAAGAAAACUUUCCGAAGAAACAAAAAAACUAAUGGAAAGAUUAUUUAAUUGCCGAAAUAGUUCUUUUUUCAUCCGAUAUAAACAUUACCGUUUUCUUUUAUAAAAUGGCUAUUGAAAAUCUUGCGUGUUUUUGCCAGGAAUGUUGUAUAGUACGAAAAAAUAAUUAUUUUAACAUGUACUAGAGGGCGUUAUUUACAAAUUGCCACGAGGCGCGGUUCCUUUGACUUUUUUGUUCCUAUCGAUACGCUCUACAGCUCCGUCCAAGUCCCAAUCGCGUCAUACGGACCUAUUAAACAUUCUAUAAAACCUUAAAAUAGUUUGAUUUAUUUAUUUACCUUCGCUCGUAAACCUCGAUUUUAAAUGUAUCCGCCAUUUUUUCGACAAAUUUCCCGCCAGUCGAUGC